GCCACACCCCACGCUGCAGUUGGCCCAGGGAGACCACUCUGACCAGGGCCACGAGUCUGAAACGACGGGACGUCGCGAAGGAACCACGCCGCCAGAAGUACAGCAAGCAGGGGCGCUGAUGUCCCCUGCGCUCGCUUCGUCCCUUACCAGUUGUUGCAACGGAUGGCGACUGUCUCCCCGGGAUGCACCAGUAUCCACGCUGGCUGGACCUCAGAGGCGGAGCUGCCGUUGACUCCAUCUGUACCGGGGAGGAAAACUUUGUCACCGUCACAGGCGAGGAAGUCAUAGGAGGAGGGCGCGGCAGGCCGCCUACGCACUGGGGCAGAAGGGGAAGAGGUUGCACGGCUUCGCCUCCAGCUGCACGCCCACGUCCCUGUGCUCGUGCCCGCGCU